GGCAGACUGCUGACUUCCAUGUAAGCAGAACUGCAGCACAUUUUGCCCUUUGGCCAGAAGAUGGAGAAUGAGUACUGUUAAGUAUUUGAGAAUGUGGUCUGGAUCUCCUUGAUUCUCUCUCCUGUGAGCUUGAUCUCCUGAUGCUAAAGAAACCCUGGGAGAAUAAACUCUUUGCCCCAUUUUGUUUUGCUGCUUUGUCACUUUGAAACCAAUCCUCAUUGCUUUUGAUCAAAAAGGAACCUGAAUGCCAGACUGGUUCAGAACAGCUUCUUCUCACUCAAGGCAAGGUGCUUUCUUUACAGGAGGUAUACCAGUCCAAACUGUGAAAGAUGAGAAGGAAUUAAAAGCUGAAAAAUGGAACUUGGCAGAAUUCCAGAGGAAGUAUCUUUGCAAGCACAGAUAAUAGAUGAGCCAACCUGACAGUCUCUCUGUUGGUGCAGGUGAGAUGCAUUAUAAACCUGGGGGU
rnacentral:lncRNA from 1 species